GGGGUGUGAGGCGCCAGAUGUGCUGGGACAGUGAUGAGAGAAGGACUCUCCCUCACUUCUCUGCUGUCCUACGCCCCAGACUUCUCCUGUCCUCUAAUUCUUCAUGUCUGUUCAUUAUCAGAUAUCCACCCAACCCGACCCUGCCAUUCCCACCGUGCCCAGGUGACCCAAAAACCAGUUCCGCUUAGGGGCCUGAGGGAAGCAUCUAAGGCGAGCGCAUUUCUCAUAGAAGGAGUAAGUCCAGGCCAGAAUUCUCGCCACGAGCCAAGAAGCCCCGAAGAGCAGCAGAAGAUGCCAUGAGGAGGCCAGCACUGGACCCAUGCCCAGCCAGGACAGGCUCAGGGACUGCAUCCUGUAGGGCAGACAAACACGGCACAUGGUGACAGAUUCUGCUGCUGGGGUCAAGACCAGAAGAAACCAAUGACCUCCUCAGGACAUUGUUUACUACUUAGAAGGACCUGAGAGCAAAUACCAACUUUCACAGACAGGAGGAAGUCUGCUCUGAAACACAUCUUUCUGAAGCCCUACUCAGGCUGCUGAUGCCAUACAGACUUUGGUCUUGCCAACCCCAUAAUCACAGGUGCCAGUUUCUAAAAUUAACUUAUCAAGCUAUAAAUAAGCAAGGAUUACAACUAUAAUCAGGCCAUUUGGGGGGUUAAUACAAGGGGAAAAUGAACCAAGGCCAACCUGAGCUACAUAUGAUAAGAUAAAUGCAUGGCAUAUAGCAUAACUUAACCUUCAGAUAAAUUACAUAGACACUGAUUACAUAGAAAUUAAUCAACACUGUCAUCUUGACUGGAUCUUGAAUCACCAUGGAAGCAGACUUCUGGGGGUACAAGAGUCUUUCAUAAAGGUUGAACUGUGAACAAAGACACCCCUGAAUGUGGUCAACUUCAUUGCCGGGACUCUGUUUCCCAGCUAAAUAAAAAUAAGAAAGUGAACUGAAUACCACAGGUAAUCUCUUGGCUUCCUGAUUUAAGAUAUCACGUGACUAGCUGCCCCAUGCUCUUGCCACUAUGACUUUCCCACCAUGAUGGACUGGACCCUUCAACUGUGAGCCAAAGGAAUCCCUUCCUUCCUUAACUUACUUUUCCAGGUAUUUUAUCAAUGAGAAGAGAAAAGUUAACUAGUACAUGAAAUUUGUAUGAGGAAUGAGGUCAUUGGUGUGAUAACUUGACCAUGUUAGGAGGAAUUUGGGGCUGAUUUGCUGAAGGAACAUGGAAGAGUUUGGAAUUCUGUGUUAUAAAAUCUCUAGAUGACUGUUAUGCCCAGAUCUUGGGACCCCAAAAAGACUGCCACCAAGGAGACGACUCACCAAAUGCAAGUACAAAGGUUUCUUUAUUGUAUCGAGUGCAGCAUGGGCACCAGUGGUUCGGGAAUGACUGCCACUUUUUGGCUGAGGGAUUUUUAAAGGGGAAAGUUCAAAAGACUGGAUGCCCUCAGAUUACAGAGUUUUAUAGUUACAUAGGAUGAAACAAUAACUAUGUUCAGGCAGGAUACAAGUAAGCAGGAAGCUGUAGAGGAAAUAAGUUUGUUAAUUAUCUCCUGGGCAGGGACUUUUACAACUAUGAAUUGACAACUAUCUAUCUGAUCUUCUUUAAGACAGAGAAAUGUUGACACAGCUGGGGUGUGGUAUCUGUUCCCAGGCCUCUGUACCCAGUUCUUUGUUUAGCCUUAUCUGUUGGGCUGCCUUUUGGGGAACUCAGAGAGGCUUAAGAGUUUUUCUUUUUCUAUUUGGGCUUAUGGAGUCUAAGUUAUUAGACUUUUAUUAAUUUUUCCAUUUCGAUUACUAUAAGCAAAGCUGAAUGAGACAGUUUGAUUGUGGUGGCUAACAUCAUAAGUUUAAAUUGCUUAAGAGAUCUAUAAAAAAAAAAAAAAAAAAAAAAAAAAAAAAAAAACCCAACAACCACCACCUCUAACCUUCCUGGAAUCCUGGGGGCUGUUGUUCAUGUAAGAUAACAAACCACGUGUUUUCACUUCUGUAAAUGGGAUUGGUUGCUCCAGUUGCACAGGAUGUGUGCUGGAUCACAUGUAGACAGAAGUAUGUCAGGACAUGUGCUUGCCUCUGAUUGCUUGGAGACAGGAAAUGCAUAGCCUUGUAAGUUUACAUUUUUAAGUCCCUGACUAAUGCCUUUGGUGCUGUACUCUUGAGCAUGAAUCUCGGGAGUGGACCAAUGUUUAAUAAAGUCUCUUGUUUAAAAUUU